GGGGAUUUUCAUAUUGCCACUUGGCAGGAAGC
rnacentral:piRNA from 1 species